CCAGUGCGGCCAAUUCCAUAUGGCGAAGAGUGAAAGAGACAAGGAACGGCCGCCGGGCGCAGUUUGGCGUCCGGCCCGACGGCGCCUUUCCCGUGGUGGCGGUCGUCGUGCCACCGGUCGCCCUGACACCUCCUCCGACGUUGCCGUUCCUGACGCCGUUCACGCUCUGCGUCCCUUCUUCGCCGUGGGCAAUGGUGACGUUCAGUUCCUGUCGCACCAUGACUGGCAUCUUCCGCGCGGCGGACUAGACAGCACCCGACUGACUUCGCAGGCGGCCCAAAUCCUCACGUGAGAGCCGCGGAACUCGAGCGCCUCCAAGCGGCCGGCGACGAUCGACGGGGAAUCGAGGAGUAGCUAGGAGCUCGCCACAUUGGCUAGCGCCUGUUUUACUUCUCACUGCGUUCCCCAGACGGAGGAGUUGUAGGGAGCGGCGGAGAACGAAAGUACCGAGGCAGGGAAUUUCUGUUCAGAGGCUAGGGAGCGCUGGUACCCAGAUGGGGCGGACACCGGCGGAUCGCGGAAGCAACGCGCGAGGAACGCGGCUUUUUUUACGACCACGUCUAUGCGGUACGACCUCCGGACGGCCUUUGGUAAUGAUCGGUAGCUGUAUAUCUCGUGCGGCUCCGCUGUCGCCAUUUCUCAUCCUGACAAGCCAAAGACAACGCAAGACGAAUUGUCCUUAUAAAUCCCCCCUCGUGACGUGGCGGACGGGCUAUUAUACGGAAAGUCAUUUCCCUGGCUCUCAGAGGGACAGUUUAAUUGAAAAGCGAAGCCCGCGAUCUUUGUGUUUGAGGUUCGCGUCUAACUAUAAACAAUCGGAAUAAACACUUUAGCAGUAAUAUAAUAAUGUCGCUGCAAUUGGCAGUAUUCUCCAAAAAAGCGAUAGCAUAUUAUCACCGAAACAAAAACGCGGAGGCUACGUUUUACGGGAAUGACAAAUUUUUUUCAUGUGAAAAGUCGCUUCUUUGUGUAGGACUUUUUGUGAAAGUUUAAUGGGGACACAUACACCAAGAAGCAGAAUAAAGUGUACCAGUACUCUG